AUAUCAAUAAGCGGAGGAAAAGAAACCAACAGGGAUUGCCUUAGUAACGGCGAGUGAAGCGGCAAAAGCUCAAAUUUGAAAUCUGGCACUUUCAGUGUCCGAGUUGUAAUUUGAAGAAGGUAACUCUGGAGUUGGCCCUUGUCUAUGUUCCUUGGAACAGGACGUCACAGAGGGUGAGAAUCCCGUGCGAUGGGGUGUCCAAUUCUAUGUAGAGUGCUUUCGAAGAGUCGAGUUGUUUGGGAAUGCAGCUCUAAGUGGGUGGUAAAUUCCAUCUAAAGCUAAAUAUUGGCGAGAGACCGAUAGCGAACAAGUACAGUGAUGGAAAGAUGAAAAGAACUUUGAAAAGAGAGUGAAAAAGUACGUGAAAUUGUUGAAAGGGAAGGGCUUGAGAUCAGACUCGGUAUUUUGCGAUCCUAUCCUUCGUGGAGAGGUUUCACUUGCAGCUUACCGGGCCAGCAUCGGUUUGGAUGGUAGGAUAAUGACAUUGGAAUGUGGCUUUUCGGAGUGUUAUAGCCUUUGUUGAUACUGCCUAUCUAGACCGAGGACUGCGUCUUUGACUAGGAUGCUGGCAUAAUG
rnacentral:rRNA from 2 species